CACGCCCUAAACGAUGUCAACUAGGUGUUGGUGGGGUUAAACCCAUUAGUACCGCAGCUAACGCGUGAAGUUGACCGCCUGGGGAGUACGGCCGCAAGGUUAAAACUCAAAGGAAUUGACGGGGACCCGCACAAGCGGUGGAUGAUGUGGAUUAAUUCGAUGCAACGCGAAAAACCUUACCUACCCUUGACAUGCCAGGAACUUUCCAGAGAUGGAUUGGUGCCCGAAAGGGAGCCUGGACACAGGUGC
rnacentral:rRNA from 2 species